AAUAAAACUAUCAGAAGUAUCGGAAGUUUAUCUGGGCGUUAUCGGAGGCAUGUAAAAAAUUGGUAUUCAUAAUGGUUCAAUUGCGCUAAAAGUCUCCGAUAAAGAUGCUUUGAUUUAUCGAGCCUAACCCCCGUCUUUACACCUAUGUUAAGCGUUCGAUAGCAAAAAAAUGGCUGACGUCGGUCACCUGUUUCGAGUUGACGCUUGUUGCCAAAGUCAGUAUGUACUUAGAAGUAAACAACAUUUCGACUUUGUAGCCCAUCAUUUUCGUUUCAAGAAGUAAUUUUAUUUAGUUACGUAUUAAAAAUGCAAGCUAGGCUGCUUUAGGUAGAAAAAUGUGUCGUCAGAAAUUCGAUCCGUAUUUUCUGGAUAAUGAUGAAUUCCGUAAACGGUAUUAUUUUCCAAACAUACGGCUGCAUUUAUAAAUGACUGAUAGUCCGCGAAGAGUUGCAGCUUCACCGUAUAGUUUGUGGCAGAUCACCAGAAUUGCAAGUAUUAAUUAACUGCAUUGACAUGUUGGGAUCGUCAUGAGAGGAACCCUUGUUAAGGCUGGAAUUUCACCAUGUAAAAGGCUUCCCAUCUAUAAUUGGUUGUAUUUAUUACGCCCAUAUAAAAU
rnacentral:lncRNA from 1 species